CCCGCGUUCGUCCCCGAGCGAGCGUCUCCGCGGCGACGCCGUCCCCAGCGACGGGCGCGCCUCCGCGGGAGCUUCACCUGUCGCGCGCUCGGACGCGGCGGCCUUCCAAGCUAGGAGAGAUGCCAGGGCCACACCCCAGAGCAGAAUCAGGAAGUUGGAGAGCAGAUGGAUGUUGAAAAGUCCUUGUGGCUGAUGUGCCAGUUUAGGAGACCACGUUUCUAACCAAUAUUGUAUAUCCUGAGAGUCUCACGCAGCGACUUCGGGGAGCAGACCUGCUUGAAAGGAUUAGGAGGUGUGACCUUGUUGGAGGAAGUAUGGCGCUGGGGCUUGCAAAGACUACUUGGAGAGUUCUGUCACUGCAUCUCUAGUUCCUGGCCUGGAGAGAUG